rnacentral:lncRNA from 1 species
CUCUUCUUCGUGGGGCGUGCACCUUCUGGGGGUGUAGGCGUGCAGCACCUGCUGCUAUGGAGGACGGAUGGCGCAGUGCUUCUAUCAUCAUCGUCGGGCUCAAAUUCCUGUAUGUAUGGAUCAAGAUGCCAUUCCCUGUUUUUUCCCUUCCAUUUCUGUUUAUAGAGUACAUCAAGGACACACUCACAUUCAGAAAGCACCAAUUAAACCUUGUGUAUCAAAUAACCAUUAUUGUAGGAGAAUUAUGAAGUAAUUUUCAUUUACAAACUUAUCUAGUAUUCUGAUAAUGUAAUGGAACUUUUACCUUUAAUUAACCAAUAUACAUAGCAGUACGCAUGGUUUAAGCCUUGAGCAUUAGUUCAGUUAUGCGUACAUUCUGUGAAGGUUUGUUGCUCCAAUUUGCCAUAUGGUGGAGAAACCAUAUAGUUGAGUUUGUCCUUAUCAGCUAUAAUAGCAAAAGUAUAUGAUCCUAUUUCAGCUCAAAUAGCCAGUUCUAUUUCAGGUCAAAGAGUCAGUUUUAAAAACAAAACAAGAAAAGGGUCAGGUAUAGUAUACAAGGUGAGAUGGAAGAUUCUUAUAAUGUAGGCCAUGUUUCGUUUAAAAAAGAAGGCUAUGCUACUGAUAUUUACUUUCAGUUCUUAUCCAUCUCUCGAAGAUAAAUAUUGCGGGUGAGAUUGCUACCCAAAUAUGAAUAGUUCGGAACCUUCGAACUUGUGCAAUGUUCUUCUGCUAACAAAAUCUCGAGAUUUGGCAAUUUUCAUCAGUUGUUUCGAUUAUGCUACAUUAUUCAAUUUUUUUGCCUUUGUGAUAUGUAAUCUCGCACCUCAUCGGCUUUCUUCUAAUACAGAAUGGCAUGUAUUUAUAUGUGUCUUUGAGAAAAAUAUUGCAUCAUCAUUAUUAUAUCAGUAUAUGCCACUGGAGAAAACAUAAGGUGCAGUUGAGAAUUAAAACAAAUAUUUUACAUUUUGUAUUGUGUUCAAUUGUCGAAGACUAAAAGUAUAAAUACCAACUACACUUUACUCAUUCUGUUGCUAACCAAGUAACCAUCAUUACAGAAGCUGGCAUGUUCAUUUGAAAAAUAGAUAAAAGAGGACAAGGGGAUACUAGAAGAUACAAGCAUGUAAGCAAUAGUUCUUGUGAUUAUAUUUAACAAUGAACAUUAUGGUUGAUUGCUUAAAAAUCUUUGCUUCUAAUGGAGCUGGAAGUGGAUUCUAAGCGUAUGGCAGAAGCAGCAAUGUGACCAGAAGCAAGGUGGGGUAAUAAGCCUUGUACUCACUUACCUCUUUACAUUGUUUAGAUCUAUGGCUGUCUCACCCCUUGUAAAGUAGUAAUUUUUGAAACCGGUUUUCUCCAAGGCAUUAGUUGCACCUUUCUUGUACAUGUGUAUCCUGUAUAUUAGCAAAAACUGUGAAAUAGCAUAAUGUCGUGUUGGAAACUUGGAAUUCACGAUUGCACUUAAAAUGGCCGUUAUCUUCAUGAUAGCUCCAAGCUUUAUUCUAGAAGCGUAC